GACGAACGCUGGCGGCGUGCUUAACACAUGCAAGUCGAACGGUAAGGCCCUUCGGGGUACACGAGUGGCGAACGGGUGAGUAACACGUGGGUGAUCUGCCCUGCACUUCGGGAUAAGCCUGGGAAACUGGGUCUAAUACCGGAUAGGACCACUGCCUGCAUGGGUGGUGGUGGAAAGCUUUUGCGGUGUGGGAUGGGCCCGCGGCCUAUCAGCUUGUUGGUGGGGUGAUGGCCUACCAAGGCGACGACGGGUAGCCGGCCUGGGAGGGUGACCGGCCACACGGGGGCGAGGAUGCGGCCCAGACUCCUAGGGGGGGAAGCGGUGGGGAAUAUUGCAAAAGGGGCGCAAGCGUGAGGCAGCGGCGCCGGGUGGGGGAGGACGGCUUUCGGUUUGAAAACCUCUUUCAGCACCGACGAAGCGCAAGGGACGGUAGGUGCAGAAGAAGGACCGGCCAGCUACGUGCCACCCGCCGCCGUAA
rnacentral:rRNA from 1 species